AAUGAACGCUGGCGGCAUGCCCAACACAUGCAAGUCGAACGAAGGCUUCGGCCUUAGUGGCGCACGGGUGCGUAACGCGUGGGAAUCUGCCCUUGGGUUCGGAAUAACUCAGAGAAAUUUGAGCUAAUACCGGAUGAUGACGUAAGUCCAAAGAUUUAUCGCCCAAGGAUGAGCCCGCGUAGGAUUAGCUUGUUGGUGAGGUAAAAGCUCACCAAGGCGACGAUCCUUAGCUGGUCUGAGAGGAUGAUCAGCCACACUGGGACUGAGACACGGCCCAGACUCCUACGGGAGGCAGCAGUGGGGAAUAUUGGACAAUGGGCGAAAGCCUGAUCCAGCAAUGCCGCGUGAGUGAUGAAGGCCUUAGGGUUGUAAAGCUCUUUUACCCGGGAAGAUAAUGACCGUACCGGGAGAAUAAGCCCCGGCUAACUCCGUGCCAGCAGCCGCGGUAAU
rnacentral:rRNA from 1 species